rnacentral:tRNA from 1 species
GGAGAGGUGGCCGAGUCCGGCUUAAGGCGCACGCCUGGAACGCGUGUUGGGAAGUGAUUCCCUCGCAGGUUCGAAUCCUGUCCUUUCCG